rnacentral:rRNA from 1 species
GACGAACGCUGGCGGCGUGCCUAAUACAUGCAAGUCGAGCGAACAGACGAGGAGCUUGCUCCUCUGACGUUAGCGGCGGACGGGUGAGUCACACGUGGAUAACCUACCUAUAAGACUGGGAUAACUACGGGAAACAGGAGCUAAUACCGGAUAAUAUAUUGAACCGCAUGGUUCAAUAGUGAAAGACGGUUUUGCUGUCUCUAAUAGAUGGAUACGGGCCGCAUUAGCUAGUUGGUAAGGUAACGGCUUACCAAGGCAACGAUGGUUAGACGACCCGAGCGCGUGGUCGCCCACACGGGAACUGAGACACGGUCCAGACUCCUACGCGAGGCAGCAGUCCGGAAUCUUCCGCAAUGGGCGAGAGCCUGACAGAGCACCGCCGCGUGAGUCAUGAAGGUCUUCGGAUCGUAAAGCUCUGUUAUUAGUGGAGAACAAAUGUGUAAGUACCCAUGCUCGUCUUGACGGUACCUAGUCAGAAAGCCACGGCUAACUACGUG